UGAGGAAUAUUGGUCAAUGGACGAGAGUCUGAACCAGCCAAGUAGCGUGAAGGAUGACUGCCCUAUGGGUUGUAAACUUCUUUUAUACGGGAAUAAAGUGAGGCACGUGUGCCUUUUUGUAUGUACCGUAUGAAUAAGGAUCGGCUAACUCCGUGCCAGCAGCCGCGGUAAUACGGAGGAUCCGAGCGUUAUCCGGAUUUAUUGGGUUUAAAGGGAGCGUAGGCGGACGCUUAAGUCAGUUGUGAAAGUUUGCGGCUCAACCGUAAAAUUGCAGUUGAUACUGGGUGUCUUGAGUACAGUAGAGGCAGGCGGAAUUCGUGGUGUAGCGGUGAAAUGCUUAGAUAUCACGAAGAACUCCGAUUGCGAAGGCAGCUUACUGGACUGUAACUGACGCUGAUGCUCGAAAGUGUGGGUAUCAAACAGGAUUAGAUACCCUGGUAGUCCACACAGUAAACGAUGAAUACUCGCUGUUGGCGAUAGACUGUCAGCGGCUUAGCGAAAGCGUUAAGUAUCCCACCUGGGGAGUACGCCGGCAACGGUGAAACUCAAAGGAAUUGACGGGGGCCCGCACAAGCGGAGGAACAUGUGGUUUAAUUCGAUGAUACGCGAGGAACCUUACCCGGGCUUAAAUUGCAGAUGAAUUACGGUGAAAGCCGUAAGCCGCAAGGCAUCUGUGAAGGUGCUGCAUGGUUGUCGUCAGCUCGUGCCGUGAGGUGUCGGCUUAAGUGCCAUAACGAGCGCAACCCUUGUUGUCAGUUACUAACAGGUUCCGCUGAGGACUCUGACAAGACUGCCAUCGUAAGAUGUGAGGAAGGUGGGGAUGACGUCAAAUCAGCACGGCCCUUACGUCCGGGGCUACACACGUGUUACAAUGGGGGGUACAGAGGGCCGCUACCACGCGAGUGGAUGCCAAUCCCCAAAACCUCUCUCAGUUCGGACUGGAGUCUGCAACCCGACUCCACGAAGCUGGAUUCGCUAGUAAUCGCGCAUCAGCCACGGCGCGGUGAAUACGUUCCC
rnacentral:rRNA from 1 species